rnacentral:rRNA from 1 species
UACGAAGGGGGCUAGCGUUGCUCGGAAUUACUGGGCGUAAAGCGCGCGUAGGCGGCUUUGCAAGUCGGGUGUGAAAUCCCCAGGCUUAACCUGGGAACUGCAUUCGAGACUGCAUUGCUAGAGUAUGGGAGAGGGAAGUGGAAUUUCCGGUGUAGCGGUGAAAUGCGCAGAUAUCGGGAGGAACACCGGUGGCGAAGGCGGUUCUCUGGGCCUUACCUGACGCUGAGGAGCGAAAGCGUGGGGAGCGAACGGG